rnacentral:rRNA from 1 species
UGCAAGUUGAGCGCUGAAGGUUGGUACUUGUACCGACUGGAUGAGCAGCGAACGGGUGAGUAACGCGUGGGGAAUCUGCCUUUGAGCGGGGGACAACAUUUGGAAACGAAUGCUAAUACCGCAUAAAAACUUUAAACACAAGUUUUAAGUUUGAAAGAUGCAAUUGCAUCACUCAAAGAUGAUCCCGCGUUGUAUUAGCUAGUUGGUGAGGUAAAGGCUCACCAAGGCGAUGAUACAUAGCCGACCUGAGAGGGUGAUCGGCCACAUUGGGACUGAGACACGGCCCAAACUCCUACGGGAGGCAGCAGUAGGGAAUCUUCGGCAAUGGACGAAAGUCUGACCGAGCAACGCCGCGUGAGUGAAGAAGGUUUUCGGAUCGUAAAACUCUGUUGGUAGAGAAGAACGUUGGUGAGAGUGGAAAGCUCAUCAAGUGACGGUAACUACCCAGAAAGGGACGGCUAACUACGUGCCAGCAGCCGCGGUAAUACGUAGGUCCCGAGCGUUGUCCGGAUUUAUUGGGCGUAAAGCGAGCGCAGGUGGUUUAUUAAGUCUGGUGUAAAAGGCAGUGGCUCAACCAUUGUAUGCAUUGGAAACUGGUAGACUUGAGUGCAGGAGAGGAGAGUGGAAUUCCAUGUGUAGGCGGUGAAAUGCGUA